AGGGAAUCUUCCGCAAUGGGCGAAAGCCUGACGGAGCAACGCCGCGUGAGUGAUGAAGGUCUUCGGAUCGUAAAACUCUGUUAUUAGGGAAGAACAAAUGUGUAAGUAACUAUGCACGUCUUGACGGUACCUAAUCAGAAAGCCACGGCUAACUACGUGCCAGCAGCCGCGGUAAUACGUAGGUGGCAAGCGUUAUCCGGAAUUAUUGGGCGUAAAGCGCGCGUAGGCGGUUUUUUAAGUCUGAUGUGAAAGCCCACGGCUCAACCGUGGAGGGUCAUUGGAAACUGGAAAACUUGAGUGCAGAAGAGGAAAGUGGAAUUCCAUGUGUAGCGGUGAAAUGCGCAGAGAUAUGGAGGAACACCAGUGGCGAAGGCGACUUUCUGGUCUGUAACUGACGCUGAUGUGCGAAAGCGUGGGGAUCAAACA
rnacentral:rRNA from 1 species